UGAUUUCUCUGUUCACUGGAGACUGUUUGGAUCAUCUUUUCCUGGUCCUCAAGAAGAAGGAAGAAGUGGAGCACCGUGUCCAAUCUCCCUUUCCCUGGUGCCAAGCAGUCUUCAAGGGGGCUGUUAUCACCCCAGGUACAUUUAUGUUUCCUUGGAGGGAGGCUGGACCUGGGACAAGCAUUGCUGCCACUCUCCAGCUGGAGCUGGGGGAGGGAUUUGAGGAGGCUGGAGCCAUUCCCCCUUCCCUCUCCCUGAUGUUGUUUGGUUCCAAAGAGCAUUGAACCACCUGUGACAUCAUGGCCCAGCAGGGUUUGCUCAGCAGCCUCACUCCCCAAAUUAAACAUCCCUGCCCCUUGUGCUGCCUGGGACAUGGGGAUUAUGCAAGAAGUGAAGCUGUGGGUGCAGGUGCAUGUGCUGCCUGUCUGAAGCCUUGUGCAGAGUGGUUUGUGUUGUGGGGUUGUGUCCAUCUCCUGGAUCACAAAUCAGGAAUCAGGGAGAUGGGCAGUGUUCCCUAUGACUCCCUUCAAUAAAAUUCCAGGCACGCAGGGA